CCUGGUUCUUUUGGCAGGCCUUCCCAUCAGCUCCUACUCUUGUCUUCCCCAUCUUGGAUUUUCAUAUGUUAUCUCCAUUUUAUUUUUACUGUUUGCUUUAAUCCUAUCUGUUUUUGACUGUAAACCCCCCAGAGUGGAUUUCUCCACAUGGGCAGUAUAAAAAUCAAAUUAAACAAAUAAAUAAAUUAGACUAGGACUGGUAGAAAGUACUGGGUGGAUGGCACAACCCUUUAACCAAAUAUUUGCCAAACAGAGACUUGACCGUUCCUGAGCUCCACCUCAACAUCAAUUGCUAUUCUGAGUGCUAGAAGUUUUUUUUUUCCCCCUCCCCUAGAGACAUGUGUCUUCUUUUGCCCUGGAAAGCAUCCUCUUCUAGGAAAAGCCCUUCAUUUGAAGGGUUGCCUUCAGGUGCGAAUUGUGCAGGGAUUCCGUUUUGACCUCUGUUUCAGCCUUGCACAUCCCCUUUCCAAGUACUGCUCCAAAAUAUGUUGGGGGCCAUCUCCCCACACAAGGCAAAUUCUAGAGCCAGGCCAUUAUUCUGAAAAGAACACGCUUUAAACAUUGGCUCAUAUUAACAUCAUGUUUGGAGGGCAAGGAUUUAGGUAAAUAAGCAGCAACAAAGAGCCUCUGGUUCCUCAACCCUCAGGCAUUUUAUCUAUUCUUAUAAUGAGGCAAGGAGGCAGAGAUAAACCAGGCUGGAGGCAUCUUAGGUAAACUGGGGAAUGUAGUAUCUGAUAGCACGGAGCCACCCCGAGAGCAGGCAAGCCAUCCCUCUGAGUUAUUAAUACAUGAACUUUGCCACCACCCUCCCACGCUGCCUGCUGAUUUUCAUACCAUGUUGCAUAAUUAAUCUGUCAACAUUCUGUGACGAGGUAUAAAUAUUAAUAACACGAUCACACAGUUGGCUGUUCCUUUUAAAAUGCAAACUUUUGCAAAGAUAAAUUGCACACUUAAUCUUAACCAGCUUUCAGAAGUGUAUUUUUUUUCCUUUUAUUUCCCUUUCCCCCGCCCCCUGCAAACAAAGGAUACCUUCGUCUUCUGAAAAAUAAGAACGAGAGAGAAAAGUGUCCACGUUUACCUCUGUUUGGCACGGACUCUCAACUCUCAGUCUUUUUUCACCCCGAGUGAAACUUGAAAUAACAGCUACCCAGGAUCCAUAGCUCUGCUACUGCAGGAAGCAGUGAAGCAAUGCAGUUUAAAGAUGCAGCACAGGAGGAGAAUCGAUGCUUGAAUUACAGGGGGAAAGGAAGCAAAGUGUCCCCAGACCCCCCCCACACACACUUUAUAUAAUGCUCCCCCAUUUAGCUUCUAGGGUCUCAUGUCUUGGCUGAAAUUGAUCAGUCAGACUAAUCUCUGGUCCCUUGCCCAGCACUUCCAAGCAAAGGUGUAAACUCAGCUAUGAAUAAGAUCCAAAGUUGCAUUAUAGCUCUUAUGACUAGAGCUUUUUUCUUAAACUGAAUGGUCUCCGUUUCCAGUCUGCCAUUUAAAAAUCACAUGAGAGGGCCUGAAGGUUAUGGGUAGCCCGCUGGUGUCCAAAUGCUGCCCCCAGCACUUUAGA
ensembl:lncRNA